GAUUCCAUCCAAGUUACCACAUUAUAUUUGUUAAUCACGUGUUCUUUGGCUUCUCUUGUUUGUGACAGUUUCUCAGACUUCUGUUUUGCUUUGUUCUUAAUAACCUUGACAGUUUUGAGGAGUAGUGAUAAGUUCAAUUAUUUAUUGCCUCAGCUCAACAUCUUGUAGAAUUUAGGACUACAAAACGAGAGGAAAAACAAAGGAAAGAAGAGUGGUUGUGGUAAUGAUUACUGCUGUGGUGAAAAUGUCCCCCAAAUUGGAUUGUGAUACAUUAAAAAAACAAUAACAAUAUAUCUAACAAAAACAAAGAGCCAUCAAUUUAAAAAAUGGAAGACAGAAAUGUCCAAGAACCCUCUCUUGGGGUUUGGAUCAGGACCCCUUUCUGGUAACAUCUUCCUGAUGAAUCCCAAAGAGGUGAUACUGAGGAGACCCCGGACUCAAAGGAAACAGACUGCAGCACUGAUUGGCUGACUCUGGAGCCAAGAAAACUUUCAAGUUACUUACAGCUUUUAACAAUUGAGUAAAGUCUAUUCCUGUGAACAAAAUUUGGAGCAUAUUUAUUUCUCUCUA